rnacentral:rRNA from 1 species
UCGAGAAUCUUCGGCAAUGGGCGCAAGCCUGACCGAGCGACGCCGCGUGUGGGAUGAAGGCCCUUGGGUUGUAAACCACUGUCAGAGGGGAUGAAAUGCCAGAGAGCUAUCUCUUUGGUUUGACAUAGCCUCAGAGGAAGCACGGGCUAAGUUCGUGCCAGCAGCCGCGGUAAUACGAACUGUGCAAACGUUAUUCGGAAUCACUGGGCUUAAAGGGUGCGUAGGCGGCUUGUUAAGUAGGGUGUGAAAUCCCCCGGCUCAACCGGGGAAUUGCGCCCUAAACUGGCGAGCUGGAGUGAGAUAGGGGUGUGUGGAACUUCCAGUGGAGCGGUGAAAUGUGUUGAUAUUGGAAGGAACGCCAGUGGCGAAAGCGACACACUGGGUCUCAACUGACGCUGAGGCACGAAAGCCAGGGGAGCAAACGG